UACAGAGGUCCCGAGCGUUAGGCGGAAUCACUGGGCUUAAAGCGUGUGUAGGUGGCGCUGUAAGUCGGGUGUGAAAUCUCGGGGCUUAACUCCGAAACUGCAUUCGAUACUGCGGUGCUUGAGGACUGGAGAGGAGACUGGAAUUCAUGGUGUAGCAGUGAAAUGCGUAGAGAUCAUGAGGAAGACCAGUGGCGAAGGCGGGUCUCUGGACAGUUCCUGACACUGAGACACGAAGGCCAGGGGAGCAAACGGG
rnacentral:rRNA from 1 species